AAAGUUAUACAAAUAGAAUAUUCCCGAAAAUAAAAGAUCUAUAAACAAUGUUGAUGUUGGGGGAAUUUUAAAUAGACUGUUGCAUUAGUAUAUAAAAAUAUGUUUCUAGGGGCGAAAGACCUUCACUUUUAUAGAUAUCUGGAUAAAUAUUAAAUAAAUUUAGUUUAAAGCAUAAUUACAAUGUGAUAAGAUGAUGUAAAAAGAAUUUCUAGUAAAGCUAUAAAUGAGCCUUUAAUUAUUCCUUAGCGGCACUUUAUUUAUAGUAAUAAUACAACUACUUUUUAAAUUCAAAAACAAUAUUUUAUUAGUAUAUUAUUAAUAUUAUAAUAAAUAAUGUAUAAAUUAGUAAGUAUAAAAAUUUAAUUGAAGGAACUCGGCAAAUAACUUAUACGACUGUUUAACAAAAACAUAGCCAGUAGAUAUUUGAUUAUUGGUGUGACCUGCCCAGUGAAUCUUAAACGGCCGCAGUACCCUGACUGUGCAAAGGUAGCAUAAUCAUUUGGCUUUUAAUUGGAGUCUGGAAUGAAAGGAAAAACGUAUAAAAACUGUCUCCGCAUCAAUUUUAUUUAAAUUACUCAAUAAGGUGAAAAUUCCUUAAGUAUAAUAAAAGACGAGAAGACCCUUAGAAUUUUAAGAAAACCCAAUAUCAUAUAUGAAGUGAUUUUUGUUGGGGCAACAUUUUUUCAUAAAAUAAAAAAUAAUUUAUAUUUACAAAACGAAUACAUAUAAUAAAGUUUAAAUUACCUAAGGGAUAACAGCAUAAUUUUAAAAAAAGAUUGUGACCUCGAUGUUGGACUAGGAACUAUUAAGGCUAGUCGUUUUAAUAUAAUAGGUUCUGUUCGAACUUUAUUUCCUA
rnacentral:rRNA from 1 species